GAGUUUGAUCCUGGCUCAGGACGAACGCUGGCGGCGUGCUUAACACAUGCAAGUCGAACGGUAAGGCCCUUUCGGGGGUACACGAGUGGCGAACGGGUGAGUAACACGUGGGUGAUCUGCCUCGCACUCUGGGAUAAGCCUGGGAAACUGGGUCUAAUACCGGAUAUGAGCGGCCUCUGCAUGGGGGCUGUUGGAAAGGUUUACUGGUGCGAGAUGGGCCCGCGGCCUAUCAGCUUGUUGGUGGGGUAACGGCCCACCAAGGCGACGACGGGUAGCCGACCUGAGAGGGUGACCGGCCACACUGGGACUGAGACACGGCCCAGACUCCUACGGGAGGCAGCAGUGGGGAAUAUUGCACAAUGGGCGAAAGCCUGAUGCAGCGACGCCGCGUGAGGGAUGACGGCCUUCGGGUU
rnacentral:rRNA from 1 species